rnacentral:rRNA from 1 species
AUUGAACGCUGGCGGCAUGCUUUACACAUGCAAGUCGAACGGCAACGAGGAGAAGCUUGCUUCUCUGUCGGCGAGUGGCGAACGGGUGAGUAUAGCAUCGGAACGUGCCAAGUAGUGGGGGAUAACCAAACGAAAGUUUGGCUAAUACCGCGUGAGCUCCAAGGAGGAAAGUAGGGGACCUAAAUAAGGCCUUACGCUAUUUGAUCGGCCGAUGUCGGAUUAGCUAGUUGGUGGGGUAAUGGCUCACCAAGGCAAUGAUCCGUAGCGGGUCUGAGAGGACGAUCCGCCACACUGGGACUGAGACACGGCCCAGACUCCUACGGGAGGCAGCAGUGGGGAAUUUUGGACAAUGGGGGAAACCCUGAUCCAGCCAUGCCGCGUGUAUGAAGAAGGCCUUAGGGUUGUAAAGUACUUUUGUUAGGGAAGAAAAGCUAGUUUUUAAUAAAAAUUAGUGAUGACGGUACCUAAAGAAUAAGCACCGGCUAACUACGUG